GAUGAACGCUGGCGGCGUGCCUAAUACAUGCGAGUCGAGCGAACAGACGAGGAGCUUGCUCCUCUGACGUUAGCGGCGGACGGGUGAGUAACACGUGGAUAACCUACCUAUAAGACUGGGAUAACUUUGGGAAACCGGAGCUAAUACCGGAUAAUAUAUUGAACCGCAUGGUUCAAUAGUGAAAGACGGUUUUGCUGUCACUUAUAGAUGGAUCCGCGCCGCAUUAGCUAGUUGGUAAGGUAACGGCUUACCAAGGCGACGAUGCGUAGCCGACCUGAGAGGGUGAUCGGCCACACUGGAACUGAGACACGGUCCAGACUCCUACGGGAGGCAGCAGUAGGGAAUCUUCCGCAAUGGGCGAAAGCCUGACGGAGCAACGCCGCGUGAGUGAUGAAGGUCUUCGGAUCGUAAAACUCUGUUAUUAGGGAAGAACAAAUGUGUAAGUAACUAUGCACGUCUUGACGGUACCUAAUCAGAAAGCCACGGCUAACUACGUG
rnacentral:rRNA from 1 species